UACGGAGGGAGCUAGCGUUGUUCGGAUAUACUGGGCGUAAAGCGCACGUAGGCGGCGCAGCAAGUCAGGGGUGAAAUCCCGGAGCUCAACUCCGGAACUGCCUUUGAAACUGCAGUGCUAGAAUCCUGGAGAGGCGAGUGGAAUUCCGAGUGUAGAGGUGAAAUUCGUAGAUAUUCGGAAGAACACCAGUGGCGAAGGCGACUCGCUGGACAGGUAUUGACGCUGAGGUGCGAAAGCGUGGGGAGCGAACAGGG
rnacentral:rRNA from 1 species